GAUGAACGCUAGCUACAGGCUUAACACAUGCAAGUCGAGGGGUAACAUGAUAAAAGCUUGCUUUUAUCGAUGACGACCGGCGCACGGGUGCGUAACACGUAUUCAACUUGCCACACACUCAGGAAUAGCCUUUCGAAAGAGAGAUUAAUACCUGAUAGUAUAAUCAAUUCGCAUGUUUUGAUUAUUAAAGAUUUAUCGGUGUGUGAUAGGAAUGCGUUCCAUUAGAUAGUAGGUGAGGUAACGGCUCACCUAGUCCACGAUGGAUAGGGGUUCUGAGAGGAAGAUCCCCCACAUUGGAACUGAGACACGGUCCAAACUCCUACGGGAGGCAGCAGUGAGGAAUAUUGGUCAAUGGACGAAAGUCUGAACCAGCCAAGUAGCGUGAAGGAUGACUGCCCUAUGGGUUGUAAACUUCUUUUAUAAGAGAAUAAAGUCAGUUACGUGUAACUGUUUGCAUGUAUCUUAUGAAUAAGGAUCGGCUAACUC
rnacentral:rRNA from 1 species